CGCCCAGCAGCAACCACAUUAGGAAGGAAUCGGAAACCAACGCUCCGCUGGCUGUCACCCCUUACCCACUUGCUGUCAGGUGUCCAAACAGUGUCAUCCGGUGUCCUGACAUGCGGCCCCAAUGGACUGAUCCAGGGUGGAAAGGAAGAGUGAGAAGAAAUCAGACAGAAGAAUUCAGGAGAUGUGGCAACAGAGUGGAUGUAGCAGAAGGGACAUAGAGAGUGCCUAAAGAUGAGUCUUUGGUCAGCAUGUGAUGAAAAGAAUGAAGACACUGGGGAAGUGGGGAGCAGAAGCGGAUGUGGGCCCAGGAGGAAGAAGGUAGGUUUGGACUGGGGCAUGCUGAGGUCAGUAGCAACAUCAAAGUCCUGAGCACCCUCAUAUUGUUGCAGAUUCCAGAGAGCAGAGAUGGCAAAAAGAUGCAUGGAAGAGAGACACAGCAGGGUCGGGUUCUGGCCUCAGGAGCCAAGGGGGAAGUGCCUGAGGAGACCCCCAAAUGAGGCCUGUGUCAAUGAGGUCUUUAGGGGACUGGUUUCCAUGUAUGCCAGGCCAUACUCCCUGGAUUCCCAGCAUUGAGAAGACCAAACACUUCUACACAUUUAUUACUGAAGCCCCCUGCAAGCUGAAGGCGGAGGAAGUGGCCAAUCUCCUAAGCCGUGUGUGGCUGAGGCAGUUGUCAGAGCUGUGAUGAGGGAAAUGCUCAUUAUUCUUCUAUCCCUCACUUGGCCAAAUAAAGAACUUCUUAGAAUUCUUCCCCUGUGACAAAACGGGGCUGUGAUUUGGAAAGCCUCAGGCAAGUUUGCUAGGGCCGCGGUAACCAAGCACCACAGACUGGGUGGCUUCAAAACUGGACGGCUUCAACAGAAAGUUAUUGUUGCUCAGUUCUGGAAGCCAGAAGUCCAAAAUCAAGGUACUUGCAGGGUCAGUUCGAUCUGAGGGCUGCGAGGGAAGGAUCUGUUGUAGACCUCUCUCCUAGGUUUGCAGGCAUUGGUCCUGAUGUUCACAGGGCAUCCUUCCUGUG
rnacentral:lncRNA from 1 species